rnacentral:lncRNA from 1 species
GGGAAUUGCUGUCCUCAGUAAACUGAGUCUCUCUUCAGGAAAAAAGACUUCAAACCAUGGGGAUGGCCAGUGCUCUUUGCCCACAAUAAACACUAGAAUGAAGAGGAAAAGAUGGAAUAAUUUUCAGAUGAGUUGGACCUUUAUUUCCCCACCAAAGACUCUCUCUCUCCCCUUGAUGUUUCUUCCUUCCCAGAGAAAUGAGAGAUAUUGUUUCUAACCAAGAUAUUCAAUUGAGAAAGAUUCUUUCAAUUCCUGGGCAGGCAACUGGCAACCAUGGAGUAGCUUUAUCUAUCUAUCUCUUGAAAGUAGUUCUGACCUCUAUCUGGUGUGUGAUGUCUGGAGUGAUUGCAAACAUCUGGCAGGAAUACUCGUUUUUGUACAUAGUUUGUAAUAUUGACCUAAAUUCAGAGUGCUUGGCAUUUGAAUGGUUACAUUUACAAAACAAAUAAUCCAAAAUGGUAAUUCUUUUAGGAAAGUGGCUACCAUUUUUAUCCAGACCAAAGAAUCAGUAUGUCUUAUGUUCUUUGAGUGUGUGGAAAAGCGUUUUGAAUUAGGAAGAAUGAAGUUUUUUUGUGUAAGAUAUAUGCCGGUAGUGAAACAGAUUGGCCAGGAAGGUUAAGACUUGUUUUUAAACUGUGAACAAGAUAGUUUGCAUGAGAAAAACACUCUUGUGAUGAGAUAAUAGGUUCUUAGGAAGGAGCUUUUUUCACUGGGCUCAAGUAGGCAGAACUUCUUUCUCAGCUAUGGAACCCUAGUGUUUAGUCUUGAUGUCUGCUGUCCUCAAUACCAACAGCUAUCAGAUGUUGGGGAUGAGACCACCAUUAUAAACUCAUAUUUUUCAAGAAAAACCAGGGCCUCUUUCAAGUGAGCUCACAAAACUUUUCUUUUUAAACAGUGUUCUAUGAAGGGAAGUGCUUGUACUGUUGUGUGAUAUCAGGAGUGACUGGCAGGCAUGCUCACUUUUGUACAUGGCAUUAAGCCAAACUCAGAAUGCUAAGCUUCUCUAAGUUUAGCUUUAGGGAAAGCAUAAUCAAACAGGUUAGUUCUCUUAGGAAAGUGUCAACUGUUUUUGGUCAGAACAAAGUACCCUUAUGCUGUGUGACUCUGUCCCUAAGAAAAGUCUUAAUGUUUUCCUCAACUUAGACUCUGCACUCUUCCUAAGGUUGUGAAUUUUCCUUAACUAAUGCCCAGUUAUGUUCCCAGCUAAGGUCCUUGCUGUCCAUACCUAAGACUCUGACACUGUGUCUAACUCAGUCCCUGUGUUGUCCCCAACUAUGGCCAUGUACUGUCCCUAAGACCCCUAUGUGUCCUUAACUAAGGCCAAGAUUUUUGCCACCUAAGGAAUUGAGUUAUCACCGAUUACAGCCCUGACUCUAACUUCUAAUGCUGUCCCUAACAUAGGCCCUGUGCUAUCCCUAAGGCCCUGAAUUGUCCCUAAGUAAAGCGCUGGCUUAUCCCUAAAUGACUUCCCUACUGAAGUCACAAAGCUGUCUUCAUCUAAGGCCCUGCACAUUCCUAACCAGGGCCCUACACUGUCCUUCACUGUAACCCUGAGCUCUUCCCAACUAAAAUCCAUACUCUUCCCCUAAUUAUGGCACUGGGCUCUCCCUAACAAAAACACUGAGCUUCUUCUAACUAAAUCUUUGACUCUCUCUGGAAAUAAAGACCCAGCGAUGUCCCUAAAUAAGGUCCUGGGUAAUCCCUAAAAGAGGUUAUGCAUAUCUCCCCACCUUUGUCCCUAUUCUAUCCCAAAGGUCCUGGCAAUGUGCCUAACUUAGGCCCUGCACUGUCUUUAACUGAGGACUUACAUUCUCCUUCACUAACAACCUGAGCUCCAACUAACACCCUGUUUCCCUACCUAAGGCUCUACACUGUCCCUAAAUAAGGCCCUAGGAUGUCCUUACCUAAGGUCCUGCACUAACCCUAACUCAUGCUCUAAGCUUUCUCUAAUUAAGGUCCUAUCUCUUUACUGAAUUUAGGCCCAGCCACAUCCAUAUCUAAAGCCCUAAACCCUCUCCAACUAAGACCUUCGGCUGAUUAUAUUAAGGACCCUGACUCUGUCCUAAGUAAGCACCAGUUGUUAUCCCAAAUGAGGCCUUUCAAUCUUCUAAAGGUUGUACACGGUCUCUACCUAAAGCCCUGUUUUUUCCAUAACUAAUGCCAUGAUCUGUCCCUACUAAGGCUCUUAUAUGUCCUUAAAUAAGGGCCUGAGUUAUCUCUAUCUGAGGCUCUGACUUUUUCCCUAAGGCCCUGUGCUAUGUCCUCCAACUAUGGCCUUGACCCAGUCCCUAAGAAAGUCCUAAUUUUGUUCUCAACUAGAUACUGCACUUUCGUUAACAUCAUGCACUCUCCUUAUAAGGCCCUUGCUGUCCAUACCUAAAAUCCUGACACUGUGUCUAACUCAGACCACAUAUUAUUCCUAACUAAGGCCCUUAUGUGUCCCUAAAAGUCCCAGAUUUGCCCUGAGUAAUCUCCAAAGGCCCUGCACUGUCCCUAUCAGCCUUAUGUGUCCUUAACUAAGAUGCAUAUGUGUCCAGAAUUAAGGCCCUGAAUUAUCUCCAACUAUGGCCCUGACUCUGUCCCUAAGAAAAGUCCUGAUGCUGUCCUCGACUUAUACCCUGCACUGUUUCUCAGGCUUGCCUUUUUCCUAAAUAAUGCCCUGUACUAUCCCUAAUUGAGGCCCUGACACUGUUUCUACCUAAGUCCCUAUUCUAUCUCCAACUAAGGCCCUGGCAGUGUGUCUAACUUAGGCCCUGUGCUGUCCCUAUAUAGGCCCUGGCAUAGCCUUGAACUAUCCCUUGAGCUCUCCAACUAAUAUAUUGAUUUUCUUUAACUGUAACACUGGGUUAUACCUAACUAAGCCUCUGUACUAUCUCUAAAUAAGACCCAUAUAUGUCCUUAAAUAAGGCCUAGAUUUUCUCCAUCUAAGGGCCUGAGUUCUCCUCAACUAUGGCUCUGACUCAGUCUCAACUAAGGCCCUACACUAUGUGCACAGGGCCCUUGACUCUGUCCCUAAGAAAAGUCCUAAUGCUGUCCUCAACUUAGAUUCUGCAUUUCCUAUGACCAUAUAUGGCCAUAACCAAUGAACUAGUCUACCCUUAACUGAGGCCCUGUCAGUCUCCCUAUCUAAGUCCCUAUUCUAUCUCUAACAAAGACUUAAAUAAAGUCCUUCACUGUCCCUAACUAAGUCCCAUAUGUAUCCUGAACUAAGACCAUAAUUAUCUCCAACUUUAUCUGUCCCUAAAUAAGCCAUGUGCUAUGUCCAACUAUAGUCCUUACUCUGUCCCUAAGAAAAAUCCUAAUGCUGUCCUCAACUUAGACCCUGCACUGUAACUGACUGUGUACUGUCUUUAACUAAGGCCCAGUUAUGUCCCUAAAUGUGGCCCUGCACUGUCCCUAACCAAGACCUUCAUGUAUCCUUAACUAAGACCCAUUUAUGUCCUUUAGUAAGGUCCUGAUUAUCUCUUCUAAGAUGCUGAGUUAUCUCUAACUAAGACUCUGACCCUGGCCCUAACUAAGGCCCUUUGCUAUAUCCAACUAUGCCUCUGAUUCGGUCCCUAAAAAGUCUUAAUGCUGUUCCUACUUAGGCCCUGCAUUUUUCCUAAGGCCAUGUCCCUAACCUGACCAUAGGACUAACACUACCUAAGGCCCUGCACUGCUCCAAAGACCCUUCACUGUUCUUAACUAUUCCUCUGAGCUGUCUCCAACUAAAGCCCUCACUCUUUCCCUAACUGUGGCACUGGGCUGUCCAUAACUAAAACUCUGGGCUUUCUCUAACUGCUGCCUUGGGUCUCUCUAGAACGAAGUCCCUGUGCUGUCCCUAGCUAAGGCUUUGGGCUAUCCCUAAAUGAGGGCCUGAAACUGUUCUUACAUUUCUCCCUAAAUUAUCUUCAACUAAGGCCCUGACAGUUUGCAUAACUAAGGCCCAUGCACUGACCCCAUCUAACACCCUGACACUGUCCCUAACCAAGGCCCUAUACUACUUAUAAAUAAGGCCCUGAACUGUCCCUAAGACUCUAAUAGUGUCCCUAACUAAGGCCCUGAUACUCCCUAAGUUUCUAUAUUGUCCCAAUCAUCUUGAGCACUCUCCAACUAACAUGCCAAAUUUUUCCUUAAUUCUGACCCUGAGCUGUCCUAAACUAAACACCUGAGCUUCUCUAUAAAGACUUUACUCUCUUCCAAACUAAGGCCCUGGCAUGUCCCUACCAGGCCCUGUGCUAAUCCUAACUCAUACUCUGAGCUGUCUCUAAUUAGAGCCCUGACUCUUUAACUAAGGCUUGGCCUUUUUCCUAGAUAAAGCCCUAAGCCCUCCCCAACUAAGACCAUCAUCUCUCUCUAGUUAAGGCCCUGACAUUGUCCCUAAGUAAGGACCUGAUGUUGUCCUUAACUGAGGCCCUUCACUUUUCCAAACUAAGGUUAUGUGCUGUCCCUACCUAAAGCCCUGUUCCUUCCCAACUAAGGAUAGCUGUGUCCCUAAGGCUCUGAAAGUGUCCUUAGCUAGGUCCUGAUUAAAUCAACGAAGGCACUGAGUUUGUCUCUGGUUAAGGCCCUACGCUAUGUUCAACCCCAGCCCUGAUUCUCUCCCUAAGUAAAGUCCUAAGGCUAUUUCUAACGGAGGAUCUCCUUGUCACCAACUAUGGCCAUGCUCUGUUCCUAACUAAGGCCCUGUGCUAUCUCCAGCUAUGUCCAGACUCUAUCCCUUAGAAAAGUCUUAAUUCUGUCUUCAACCUAGAGCCUGCAGUGUUGCUAAUGCAUGACUGUCCUUAACUAAGGCCCAGUUACAUCCGUUACUAAGGCCUUUGCUGUCCAUCCUAAGGUCUGACACUGUGCCUAACUCAGGGCCUGUGUUGUCCCUAACUAAACCCUGUGUUAUCCCUAAGACCCUUGAGGAGAGCACAAGGAAGAAGAGCUUAGGCGGUUACAUGUGCCUUACCUACACUCAAACGAAUUCAUUUUGUCCUGUACACGCACCCUACAUCAGUCUGAACUGCAGAUUUUUGGCUUCACCACCUCCACUGAGAGAAUUAGCUUAACCUACUGUGGGACAUCUCCCAUAGGAUUUCCAGAACCACAAAAAUCAUAGAGUUCAUGCUCAUGUGUAAUCACAUUUCAUAGGACCCAGAGAUUGUGUCUAGCGUCCUGGUGACUCUGCUGUAGCAGAGCCGCCCAGUUCCCACCACAACCCGUUAGACUUUUCCUGCUCACAGCUACCCUGCACCUCCUAGCCUGCCUACCCCUUGCAGAUUGGGGCACAGUAUCUCCUGUUACCAAUGGGAAGUGGUGGAGGUGUUGAGGCCCUGGGCCAGCCUGCAUCCUAGGACAGAGGGCAUGGUGCCCAUGUGGUCACCCCAUCCCCUUCUGUUGGAGCCCUCCACCUGGAAACAGGGAGGGUAAACAAGGUGGGCAGAGCCUCGGUCCCGACACUGACUUGCCCUACACUCUCACAUGAAGGGGACAAGACAUCUGGAGCUUCAGCUCAUUGGAGGGGGGGUGCAUUUGUUCUAGCAACAAACCUUUGCCCUAAAAGAUGAAGAGCCUUUGGAGUUCCCAUCAUGGCGCAGUGGUUAAUGAAUCCAACUAGGAACCAUGAGGUUGCGAUUCGGUCCCUGCCUUGCUCAGUGGGUUAAAGGAUCCGCAUUGCCGUGAGCUGUGUGUAGGUUGCAGAUGCAGCUCGGAUCCCGCAUUGCUGUGGCUCUGGUGUAGGCCGGUGGCUACAGCUCCGAUUAGACCCUAACCUGGGAACCUCCAUAUGCCACGGGAGUGGCCCUAGAAAAG